AGAGUUUGAUCCUGGCUCAGGAUGAACGCUGGCGGCGUGCCUAAUACAUGCAAGUCGAGCGAACGGACGAGAAGCUUGCUUCUCUGAUGUUAGCGGCGGACGGGUGAGUAACACGUGGAUAACCUACCUAUAAGACUGGGAUAACUUCGGGAAACCGGAGCUAAUACCGGAUAAUAUUUUGAACCGCAUGGUUCAAAAGUGAAAGACGGUCUUGCUGUCACUUAUAGAUGGAUCCGCGCUGCAUUAGCUAGUUGGUAAGGUAACGGCUUACCAAGGCAACGAUGCAUAGCCGACCUGAGAGGGUGAUCGGCCACACUGGAACUGAGACACGGUCCAGACUCCUACGGGAGGCAGCAGUAGGGAAUCUUCCGCAAUGGGCGAAAGCCUGACGGAGCAACGCCGCGUGAGUGAUGAAGGUCUUCGGAUCGUAAAACUCUGUUAUUAGGGAAGAACAUAUGUGUAAGUAACUGUGCACAUCUUGACGGUACCUAAUCAGAAAGCCACGGCUAACUACGUGCCAGCAGCCGCGGUAAUACGUAGGUGGCAAGCGUUAUCCGGAAUUAUUGGGCGUAAAGCGCGCGUAGGCGGUUUUUUAAGUCUGAUGUGAAAGCCCACGGCUCAACCGUGGAGGGUCAUUGGAAACUGGAAAACUUGAGUGCAGAAGAGGAAAGUGGAAUUCCAUGUGUAGCGGUGAAAUGCGCAGAGAUAUGGAGGAACACCAGUGGCGAAGGCGACUUUCUGGUCUGUAACUGACGCUGAUGUGCGAAAGCGUGGGGAUCAAACAGGAUUAGAUACCCUGGUAGUCCACGCCGUAAACGAUGAGUGCUAAGUGUUAGGGGGUUUCCGCCCCUUAGUGCUGCAGCUAACGCAUUAAGCACUCCGCCUGGGGAGUACGACCGCAAGGUUGAAACUCAAAGGAAUUGACGGGGACCCGCACAAGCGGUGGAGCAUGUGGUUUAAUUCGAAGCAACGCGAAGAACCUUACCAAAUCUUGACAUCCUUUGACAACUCUAGAGAUAGAGCCUUCCCCUUCGGGGGACAAAGUGACAGGUGGUGCAUGGUUGUCGUCAGCUCGUGUCGUGAGAUGUUGGGUUAAGUCCCGCAACGAGCGCAACCCUUAAGCUUAGUUGCCAUCAUUAAGUUGGGCACUCUAAGUUGACUGCCGGUGACAAACCGGAGGAAGGUGGGGAUGACGUCAAAUCAUCAUGCCCCUUAUGAUUUGGGCUACACACGUGCUAC
rnacentral:rRNA from 1 species